AACGAACGCUGGCGGCAUGCCUAACACAUGCAAGUCGAACGAGACCUUCGGGUCUAGUGGCGCACGGGUGCGUAACGCGUGGGAAUCUGCCCUUGGGUUCGGAAUAACAGUUAGAAAUGACUGCUAAUACCGGAUAAUGUCUUCGGACCAAAGAUUUAUCGCCCAGGGAUGAGCCCGCGUAGGAUUAGCUAGUUGGUGAGGUAAAGGCUCACCAAGGCGACGAUCCUUAGCUGGUCUGAGAGGAUGAUCAGCCACACUGGGACUGAGACACGGCCCAGACUCCUACGGGAGGCAGCAGUGGGGAAUAUUGGACAAUGGGCGAAAGCCUGAUCCAGCAAUGCCGCGUGAGUGAUGAAGGCCUUAGGGUUGUAAAGCUCUUUUACCCGGGUAUGAUAAUGACAGUACCGGGAGAAUAAG
rnacentral:rRNA from 1 species